rnacentral:lncRNA from 1 species
UUAAUAAAAAUAUAUCAACGAAAAGUUACACUAGAAGACAACCUUCUAAACUAAAACUAUAAAAUAAUAAUAAAAUAAAAAUAAUUAUUUUUGUUUACAGCUAUAGUCGAUAGAGAUACAUCAAAAAUCUUACAAUAAUAAGUCUACAUGUACAGCUCAACCAAUCCUCCACUCAAUUCGAUAAAAUGUAUAAAACCGAAAAUAACAUAUCUUUGAUAUGUUAACACCAU